CAAAUCUUGACAUCCUUUGACCCUUCUAGAGAUAGAAGUUUCCCCUUCGGGGGACAAAGUGACAGGUGGUGCAUGGUUGUCGUCAGCUCGUGUCGUGAGAUGUUGGGUUAAGUCCCGCAACGAGCGCAACCCUUAAGCUUAGUUGCCAUCAUUAAGUUGGGCACUCUAAGUUGACUGCCGGUGACAAACCGGAGGAAGGUGGGGAUGACGUCAAAUCAUCAUGCCCCUUAUGAUUUGGGCUACACACGUGCUACAAUGGACAAUACAAAGGGCAGCGAAACCGCGAGGUCAAGCAAAUCCCAUAAAGUUGUUCUCAGUUCGGAUUGUAGUCUGCAACUCGACUACAUGAAGCUGGAAUCGCUAGUAAUCGUAGAUCAGCAUGCUACGGUGAAUACGUUCCC
rnacentral:rRNA from 3 species